GGAGGGUCUUUGGCUCAGUGGUAGAGCAUCUGCUUCGCAUGCAGAAGGUCCCAGGUUCAAUCCCCGGCAUCUCCA